UAACUAUAAAGAGAAGGGGAGAGACAAGCUCUAUGAACCUUCAGCAACUUACCUAACAAAGGCAAAGUGCUAAAGCUUGUAUGAUAGUGAAGGUUUAGUUUUCAUAAAAUAAUUA
rnacentral:ncRNA from 16 species